rnacentral:rRNA from 1 species
GACGAACGCUGGCGGCGUGCUUAACACAUGCAAGUCGAACGAACGGGCCAGCAUUUUGUUUUGGUUUUGUUAGCGGCGGACGGGUGAGUAACACGUGAAUAACCAACCUUCUACACUGGGAUAACGUCGGGAAACCGGAGCUAAUACCGGAUAAUCUUUUGAACCGCAUGGUUCAAACGUGAAAGGCGGUCUUGUUGUUAGUGAUAGGUGGAUAGGCGCUGCAUUAGCUAGUUGGUAUGGUAGCGGCUUACCAAGGCAACGGCGGAUAGCCGACCUGAGAGGGAGAUGGGCGACAGUGGAACUGAGACACGGUCCAGACUCCUACGGGAGGCAGCAGUAGGGAAUGGGCCGCAAUGAGCAAAGGCCGAACGGAGCAGCGCCGCGUGAGUGAUGAGGGUCUCCGGCUCGUGGUACUCUGCUAUUUGGGAAGAACAUAUAUGUAACUAGCUGGGCGCGUCGUGACGGUAGUUGAUGAAGAAGCCCCGGCUAACUACGUG